AGCGAACGCUGGCGGCAGGCCUAACACAUGCAAGUCGAACGAACCUUUCGGGGUUAGUGGCGGACGGGUGAGUAACACGUGGGAACGUGCCUUUAGGUUCGGAAUAACUCAGGGAAACUUGUGCUAAUACCGAAUGUGCCCUUCGGGGGAAAGAUUUAUCGCCUUUAGAGCGGCCCGCGUCUGAUUAGCUAGUUGGUUGAGGUAAUGGCUCACCAAGGCGACGAUCAGUAGCUGGUCUUAGAGGAUGAUCAGCCACAUUGGGACUGAGACACGGCCCAAACUCCUACGGGAGGCAGCAGUGGGGAAUCUUGCGCAAUGGGCGAAAGCCUGACGCAGCCAUGCCGCGUGAAUGCUGCCGGUCUUAGGAUUGUAAAAUUCUUUCACCGGGGACGAUAAUGACGGUACCCGGAGAAGAAGCCCCGGCUAACUUCGUG
rnacentral:rRNA from 1 species